GUUCCGCUUGCACUGAUAUGUUGCGAUCCAGGCAGAACUGCCAGAAAUCCUUCACUAAUUCCGCAAGUAUUGCUGACCUCGUGCCCCGAGGUGGUUGAUAUAUCGAACCGCUGAAACGUUGUCCAUGCGUAAUAGGAUGGAACAGUUGGUCGACAUGUUCAAAAGACUCUGUAAAGAAAACGAACCUGCCAACAGUUCGAGGCAAUUGAUAUGAAGUCCCUGUUCCUCCCUGGACCAUCUUCCUCCGGUGGAGA